rnacentral:rRNA from 1 species
GACGAACGCUGGCGGCGCGCCUAACACAUGCAAGUCGAGCGAAGCGGCGGACGGGUGAGUAACACGUGAGUAACCUGCCUUAGACAUUGGGAUAGCCUCGGGAAACCGGGAUUAAUACCAAAUGGUCUAAGAUGGACUCGCGUCGCAUUAGCUGGUUGGUGUGGUAACGGCCCACCAAGGCGACGAUGGGUAGCCGGCCUGAGAGGGAGAACGGCCACAUUGAAACUGAGCAACGGUCCAAACUCUACGGGAUGGAGCAGUGGGGAAUAUUGCACAAUGGAGGGAACUCUGAUGCAGCGAGGCCGCGUGAACGAAGAAGGCUGUCGAGUCGUAAAGUUCUUUUAUAUGGGAAGCGGUACCAUAAGAAAAAGCCCCGGCUAACUACGUGCCAGCCGCCGCGGUAAUAC